rnacentral:rRNA from 2 species
GUGGGGGAUAACGUCCGGAAGCGGGCGCUAAUACCGCAUACGUCCUGAGGGAGAAAGUGGGGGAUCUUCGGACCUCACGCUAUCAGAUGAGCCUAGGUCGGAUUAACUAGUUGGUGGGGUAAAGGCCUACCAAGGCGACGAUCCAUAACUGGUCUGAGAGGAUGAUCAAUCACACUGGAACUGACACACGGUCCAGACUCAUACGGGAGGCAGCAGUGGGGAAUAUUGGACAAUGGGGGAAAGCCUGAUCCAGCCAUGCCUCGUGUGUGAAGAAGGUCUUCGGAUUGUAAAGCACUUUAAUUUGGGAGGAAGGACAGUAAGUUAAUACCUUGCUGUUUUGACGUUACCAACACAAUAAGCACCGGCUAACUUCGUGCCAGCAGCCGCGGUAAUACAAAGGGUGCAAGCGUUAAUCGGAAUUACUGGGCGUAAAGCGCGCGUAGGUGGUUCAUCAGGUUGGAUGUAAAAUCCCCGGGCUCAACCUGGGAACUGCAUCCAAAACUACUGAGCUAGAGUACGGUAGAGGGUGGUGGAAUUUCCUGUGUAGCGGUGAAAUGCGUAGAUAUAGGAAGGAACACCAGUGGCGAAGGCGACCACCUGGACUGAUACUGACGCUGAUGUGCGAAAGCGUGGGGAGCAAACAAGAUUAGAUACCCUGGUGGUCCACGCCGUAGACGAUGUCGACUAGCCGUUGGGAUCCUUGAUAUCUUAUUGCCGCAGCUGACGCGAUAAGUCGACCGCCUGCUGAGUACGGCCGCAAGGUUGUUACUCAUAUGAAUUGAUGGCGGCCCGCACAAGCGGUGGAGCAUGUGGUUUUAUUCGUAGCAACACGAAGAACCAUUAUUGGUCUUGAUAUGCUCAGCACUAUCCACAGAAGAAUUGGUGGCUUCGUGAACUCAUACACAGGUGCUGCAUGGCUGUCGUCAGCUCCUGUCGUGAGAUGUUGGGGU